rnacentral:lncRNA from 1 species
ACCUGCGAAGCAAGAUUGGUGUUCGUCAACUCCCACCAUCUUGAGGGGGCGUGUUAAGUAAAUAAUAUAUAGAUAAGGGAUCUCUAUGUAAUUAGUUUAGAAUACAGUAGUCCUACUUGUAUACUUGUAUAAAUACCUUUCUUACGGUUAAUAAAAGUAUCUAAGCCUCCAACUCUAUAGCUGAGGUGGAUAAGCCACAAGUGUAAUUGAACCCUGGAUUAGUGGGAAGUAGUUGAGCAACACAAGAAAUAGCGAUGUCAAUGCAUGAUUAAUUAUUGAAUAGAUAAUGUUACAUUGUUAAACUCAUGAUAGG